GUGGGGAAUAUUGGACAAUGGGCGAAAGCCUGAUCCAGCCAUGCCGCGUGUGUGAAGAAGGCCUUUUGGUUGUAAAGCACUUUAAGCGAGGAGGAGGCUACCGAGAUUAAUACUCUUGGAUAGUGGACGUUACUCGCAGAAUAAGCACCGGCUAACUCUGUGCCAGCAGCCGCGGUAAUACAGAGGGUGCAAGCGUUAAUCGGAUUUACUGGGCGUAAAGCGCGCGUAGGUGGCCAAUUAAGUCAAAUGUGAAAUCACCGAGCUUAACUUGGGAAUUGCAUUAGAUACUGGUUGGCUAGAGUAUGGGAGAGGAUGGUAGAAUUACAGGUGUAGUGGUGAAAUGCGUAGAGAUCUGGAGGAAUACCGAUGGCGAAGGCAGCCAUCUGGCCUAAUACUGACACUGAGGUGCGAAAGCAUGGGGAGCAAACAGGAUUAGAAACCCGUGUAGUCC
rnacentral:rRNA from 1 species